rnacentral:lncRNA from 1 species
AUAAAAACAGUAAUACACAAACACAAGACAAAAGAAGAAAACCCACCACCAAUUUAGAGAGAGAGAGAAAGAAGGAGCAGAAGCCUACCUAAUGAUUCCAGAAACUUUAAAGAAUUAUAGAAUAGUUAGAUCUCUCGCCAAAAAAAGAAAACAGAAACCAGCAUACAAAAGACCACCAACUAUCUUUGAUUUGUUUAGGAAUAUAAAAGACCCCCACAGGGAAGAUGAAAAAAGUGGAGUAUAUGAAAUCCCCAUAGACAACCUAGACACCAGAACAUGAGAAAUUUAUAUAGGUGCGACCACAAGGAACCUUAGGGACAGAGUAGUUGACUGUAAAAGAAAUAUUGAAACAGCCACCCUAAUCAUGGUGCUAUCAAAUAAAGCAUAUGAAAGCAAUGAAAACGUAAAUUGGAAGGAAGCAAAAGUAAUUAAACAGAUAAACAACCCAGUGGAACUCGCAGUGGCAGAAAACCUAGAAAUAUUCAAAGACAGAGCAGGGGUAAAUAUUAUAAAUGACAAACAAGUUGAAGAACUCCUAAAACCUUGGGAAUAUUUAUUAAAACAAUAACAUUUCUGACCAAAAAGCGGACUUGAACUUACUCCAAAAUGUUAAUGAAAAAGAGACAAUACCACG